GUGAAGUGCAACCAUGAGUUUUUGUAUCCAACUUUAGUCGUUCGUCUUAUUUGAAAAAAAAUUUUAAUUAGUAUUUUUGUUUAUAUGAGAUGAUAAAACAUGAAUAGUACCUUAUGCGUGACUUAUGUUUUUUAUUUUUUAAAGAAAAAUUCAAAUAAGACGGAUGAUCAAAAUUGGGCACAGAAAUUCAUGACUGCACUUAAA
rfam:Oryza sativa (indica cultivar-group) chromosome 8, whole genome shotgun sequence.